CCGUACUGUUUUAUUUUAUGUUUGAGUUUGAUCAAAAUCGAAGCGUCAUAGACGCGAUGCCCUUUCUUAUGCUUUUAAAAACGAAAUAUAAAUUUUACUUAUUUCAUUAUUUAUUAUCUAGAAUUACUAUAUUCAAAGAAUUCCUUGACCUUUUUAUGUUUUUGUCCAAAUUUAUGAAGAAUGUUUUUUAUUGUUGAAUAGCACCCCAAAAGAGAUGAUUGCAUUAGCCAAGGAAGAAUGCCUUCAAGGGUUUUAAAAAUCAGUUGCGGUCUCAUUACAUUCUUUGAUAUUGUUGAAAAUGAUGAGUAAAUACGACUGAUACGGUCACAUUUUCACUAUUACGGCCGAAGACACUGUCAUCGCAGAAUGUUUUUUAAACGCAAUACUUUAGAGCUAGGUUGAGCAAACAGAACAAAGCUCAAUUGAUCCAUAAUCAAGCAACUCUUGAAUCAUCUGCUCUAUGUGAUCAUCUUCAAGAACAGGUUGAAAUUGCUGAUGGGAAACUUCAACUUGGCCUGCCACGCUAACCCAAUUCCCUUCGAGCCACCUUAACUCCUCGUGUCUAUUCUCCGUCCAUCUAAAACCAGUUUCAGCGCUUGAUCCAACAAUGACAUUGGCAGAGGCAAAUGGAUUGGACCCUUCUGAGGGUUGAGGAUCUUUGUUUUGUGGUGAUUUUUGUUUGGCCAUUUGAAGUGAAAGUGAGGCCAUGUGACACUUGUGUAACUUAGCCGUUAAAGUGGCAGAGAGAAGCUUGGAUGAGGAUGAGUGUGGUUCAUUGGGGUUGUAUGGGAAAUUGGUGCGUGCUUUUGGUCCACACAUGAGUCUAGCUGCUUCAUCAUAUGCUCUCGCUGCAUCUUCAGCCGUUUCAAAGGUUCCAAGCCAAAUUCUAGUUUUCCUGUGGUCCAAAAAAAAAAAAUUAACAUAAACCGUGUGCAAGAGUUAUAUCAAUUACUAAGUACUUAAUGCAGUAGUAAAUUGCUAUAACACACGUAAAGGAGUUGAAAAGAUCUUUAACAAAGAAUAAAAGUGAAGUUAUGAUAUGGUGUGAUGUUAUCACGAGUGAAUUACAAUAAAGGGUGGCGAAUUUCAGAGACCCAAGAGCCCCAGUGCCUUUGGCGGACUCCACGAUAGCGUUGUUGGGGUCUGGCCAUGAUUGAGAAAAAGAGAACGUGAAAUUUUAAUACCUAAACAAGCUCGUGAAGUGUCUUUCAGAAUGGGAAGCAAACAUACAGGAAGGUGACUGCAGUGAAGUAAAGUGAAGGUAAAGUUCUUGGAGAAGGACUGCUAUUAUUUUUUUAUAAACAAAAUAUCAUAAUAUCUAUUCUUUUUGAAAAAAAAAAUCAUUUUUAUUUAUUUUGGUUUUGUAAUGUAAAUUUAACAAUAUCCAUUUGUUAAUAGUUAAU
rnacentral:sRNA from 1 species